rnacentral:lncRNA from 1 species
CCGACAACUAAACGAAUGAAUAAUAAAUAUACCAAAAUCGUACCCAAACCUACCCGUUUCCAUCAUUAUACUUAUAUCUCCAGUCAGUUACUAAUACUUACAUAUCGAUUCACAAUAUAGAAAUUUAUUUGGAAGCCGCAUUUAAUCACUGGCUUCCCUUGCGCUCUGAUGGUUAGGACAGUUUGUUCUUAAACCAACAGAUCUGGAGUUCGAAGCUGGUAUGAGGAAGGGAAUUAGUACUGAAGACAUGAAAAUAGAGGUAUUUUGAAAUACCUCCUUUUUUGGCCCAACAUUAUUAGCAAGGAAAUUAGUACUGAAGACAUAUAUCAGAACACUCCUCGAUUAGAUAUCCUUCUGCAGAAUCGAAUCGAAGAAAGCUCCGAACCACCUCGAUUAGGUAUCCUUCUGCAGAAUCGAAUAAAGCUCCUAACCAUAGGAGUGAUUCCCUGGCACUGGCGAGGCAGUUUUGUUUGAGAUUCAACCUUCAGUUGCUGUUCCAUUGUUUCCUUGCUGUUUUACAAUGUAUCAGCAAAGUUGGGGUCCUGCUGGUACAAUAGUUCACAACUUGAAAUAGGUUAAACAUGUUACUCGAUCGAUUGAUUUCGAUAUUAUAUAUGUCGCGCGUACAUCUUACAAGACUAGAGUAAUUGAAACAUUGAAAGUCCAGUACUCUGUGUGUAUGUGCAUGAAAUCUCAUGAAAUCAGUACGCAACGGAACCCAUGAUGAGAAUGUAUAUGAAGCUAGCAGUGAGAUGAAUAUCUGGCUUCUUUUUUCUUCUUUGCAGCUGUUUGAUUGAAUACUGAUGCU